AAUCAGAGAAACCAUGGUUUUGUUGAACUGUGAAAAGCGAGUGAAUUCCCCAGGGUAUCUGAACACAUCUACUUGCUUUGGCAAUAGAUCGUAUGCUUCCAACUCAUCUUCAUCCCAACCUGAGGUCGGGUUUAGAUGUGUGAUAUAUAGCCAGAUGAACACAGGGGAUGUGGAGGACUUGUGCCAAGUAGAGCAUAUAUUCCAGACAUCGUGGUCAGUCCGCAAUCUGGUACUAGAAGACCCAAGUAGUAUUUCCUGCACAGACUUACACAACCUAUUGCUAUACGGUUUUGAGCUUUCUUGGAUGACCCCUACAGAUUGUGGAAAGUGCGGCAUCUUCGAGUUCAGCGAACAACGUCGCUUUUGCUGAAAAAGCCAUACGGGAAUCCUUGGAAUACCAUUUUGGGUUUACAAUGGUGAGGUAAAUUUUUAUCUCAAAAUUGAUCACAAUGAAAAGCUUGAUAUAUAUCUUUAAUUUAUGAAUAUAUCUUUUUAAUUAAUAUAUCAACAUUUCAUAUU